rnacentral:rRNA from 1 species
AGAGUUUGAUCAUGGCUCAGGACGAACGCUGGCGGCGUGCUUAACACAUGCAAGUCGAGCGGUAAGGCCUUUCGGGGUACACGAGCGGCGAACGGGUGAGUAACACGUGGGUGAUCUGCCCUGCACUUCGGGAUAAGCCUGGGAAACUGGGUCUAAUACCGGAUAUGACCUCAGGUCGCAUGACUUGGGGUGGAAAGAUUUAUCGGUGCAGGAUGGGCCCGCGGCCUAUCAGCUUGUUGGUGGGGUAAUGGCCUACCAAGGCGACGACGGGUAGCCGACCUGAGAGGGUGACCGGCCACACUGGGACUGAGACACGGCCCAGACUCCUACGGGAGGCAGCAGUGGGGAAUAUUGCACAAUGGGCGAAAGCCUGAUGCAGCGACGCCGCGUGAGGGAUGACGGCCUUCGGGUUGUAAACCUCUUUCAGCAGGGACGAAGCGCAAGUGACGGUACCUGCAGAAGAAGCACCGGCUAACUACGUGCCAGCAGCCGCGGUAAUACGUAGGGUGCAAGCGUUGUCCGGAAUUACUGGGCGUAAAGAGUUCGUAGGCGGUUUGUCGCGUCGUUUGUGAAAACCAGCAGCUCAACUGCUGGCUUGCAGGCGAUACGGGCAGACUUGAGUACUGCAGGGGAGACUGGAAUUCCUGGUGUAGCGGUGAAAUGCGCAGAUAUCAGGAGGAACACCGGUGGCGAAGGCGGGUCUCUGGGCAGUAA